rnacentral:rRNA from 1 species
GUACACGCUGUGACUAGCAUAUCAAUAAGCGGAGGAAAAGAAACUAACAAGGAUUCCCUUAGUAACGGCGAGUGAAGCGGGAAGAGCUCAAAUUUGAAAUCUUCAAGGUUUUACCUUGACGAAUUGUAGUUUAAAGAAGUGUUUUCUGCUGAAGUUUUGGUAAAGUUCUUUGGAAUAGGACAUCAUAGAGGGUGAGAAUCCCGUAUUUGACCAUUAUUUUCAGCUUUGUGAUACACUUUCAAAGAGUCGGAUUGUUUGGGAAUGUAGUCCAAAAUGGGUGGUAAAUUUCAUCUAAAGCUAAAUAUUGGCGAGAGAUCGAUAGCGAACAAGUACCAUGAGGGAAAGAUGAAAAGAACUUUGAAAAGAGAGUUAAACAGUACGUGAAAUUGUCAAAAGGGAAGCGUUUGACACCAGUGUUGUUUUCUCGAAAAUCAAUUAAAAAUGGCUCGAUUUUGUAUUGUUUGAGACCUUAAAAGCUCACUGUACAUUUUUCGUGUCUUUUUUAAUGCACUUUUCGUUUAACAAGUCAACAUCAGUUUCUUUUGUUGUAAAAGGGUCAUUGGAAGGUGGCUUUCUUUUCGGAGAAAGUGUUUAGUAGCCUUUGGCCUCUGCAAUCGAAGAGACUGAGGUCUGCAGCGUAGACUCUUCGGGGUUAGAUACAUUUGUGCUAAGUUAUAGCUUUUUAUAGACAACUUGUUGACUAUAAUUAGUCUUGUAGCUUACUCGCUUAUGCUAUUUUACCUACGCUUAGGAUGUUGAUCUACAGAGCGAGAGU